AUACCACGCUCUCGCUACUUACACUCCGAAAGGCUCGUUGAAAACAACCAAGGAUCCGAUUAGCACACUGGCGACGAACGGCGCCGGAAAGUACGAUCUGACCGUUGAGACCGCCGGAGAUUCCGUUACACUUGAUUCUGGAUUUUCCACUUCGCGUGUUGCUAGCACGGUUCUCGAUUCGACGCCUCUCUGUAUUUUCACCGUCGACAAUGUACUUCUCCCCACUGAAUUGUUUGGUAAAUCUCCAUCUCCAGCUCCAUCUCUUUCACCGGAAACUUCUCCGGCGUCGUCUCCUGCACCUGCUGCUCUAUCUCCGGAACCUGCAGCAGCACCUUCCCCAUUCCUUUCUCCUCCCGCUCCUCCGACUUCAUCUCCCACCGCCGGUCCUGCUCCGUCAGAUGGCCCCACCGCCGACUCCCAAAAUAGCAAUGCUAGCAACGCCGUUGACAGCGUCAAAGCUCCGUCGGUUGUCCAUGCCACAUUUACGCUGUUGGUCUUGAUUAUGUCAUACGUUAUGCUUUGAAUCUGAUUUUCGAUUGUUUGCGCUCUUUUUGUUUA
rnacentral:lncRNA from 1 species